UACGUAGGCAGCGAGCGUUGUUCGGAGUUACUGGGCGUAAAGGGUGUGUAGGCGGUUUUGUGAGUUUGGUGGGAAAUCUCCCGGCUCAACCGGGAGGGUGCGCCGAAAACUGGGAGACUAGAGUGCGGGAUGGGAGAGUAGAAUUCCUGGUGUAGCGGUGAAAUGCGCAGAUAUCAGGAGGAACACCGGUGGCGAAGGCGGUUCUCUGGGCAUGUCCUGACGCUGAGGAGCGAAAGUGUGGGGAGCGAACAGG
rnacentral:rRNA from 1 species